CUUUAAGAUUUGACUGCCCUGCUAGAUUUCAGACUUGCAUGGGGCCUUUAGCCCCUUUGUUUUGGCCAAUUUCUCCCAUUUGGAAUGGGUGUAUUUACUCAGUGCCUGUGCCCCCAUUAUAUCUAGGAAGUAACUAACUUGCUUUUGAUUUUACAGGCUGAUAGGAAAAAGGGACUUUUGAGAUAAUGCUAAAAUGAAUUAAGAUUUUGGGGGAACUGUUGAGAAGGCAUGAUUGGUUUUGAAAUGUGAGGACAUGAGAUUCAGGAGGAGGCAGGGGCAGAAUUAUAUGUUUUGGCUGUGUCCCCACCCAAAUCUCAUCUUGAAUUGUAGCUCCCAUAAUCCUCACAUGUUGUGGGAGGUACCCAGUGGGAGGUAAUUGAACCAUGGGGGGAGGUUUUUCUCAUGCUGUUUUCAUGAUAGUGAUUAAGUCUCAGGAGAUCUGAUGGUUUUAUAAAGGGCAGUUCCCCAGCACAUGCUCUCUUGCCUGCCACCAUGUAAGAUGUGCCUUUGCUCCUCCUUCACCUUCUGCCAUGAUUGUGAGGCCUCCCC
rnacentral:lncRNA from 1 species